AGAGUUUGAUCCUGGCUCAGAUUGAACGCUGGCGGCAUGCUUUACACAUGCAAGUCGAACGGCAGCACAGGGAGCUUGCUCCCGGGUGGCGAGUGGCGCACGGGUGAGUAAUACAUCGGAACGUGUCCUGUUGUGGGGGAUAACUGCUCGAAAGGGUGGCUAAUACCGCAUGAGACCUGAGGGUGAAAGCGGGGGAUCGCAAGACCUCGCGCAAUUGGAGCGGCCGAUGCCCGAUUAGCUAGUUGGUGAGGUAAAGGCUCACCAAGGCGACGAUCGGUAGCUGGUCUGAGAGGACGACCAGCCACACUGGGACUGAGACACGGCCCAGACUCCUACGGGAGGCAGCAGUGGGGAAUUUUGGACAAUGGGGGCAACCCUGAUCCAGCCAUGCCGCGUGCAGGAUGAAGGCCUUCGGGUUGUAAACUGCUUUUGUCAGGGACGAAAAGGACCGUGUUAAUACCAUGGUCUGCUGACGGUACCUGAAGAAUAAGCACCGGCUAACUACGUGCCAG
rnacentral:rRNA from 1 species